rnacentral:rRNA from 1 species
UACGAACCGUCCUAACGUUAUUCGGAAUUACUGGGCUUAAAGGGUGCGUAGGCGGCUCGGAAAGUUGGGUGUGAAAUCCCUCGGCUCAACCGAGGAAUUGCGCCCAAAACUACCGGGCUCGAGGGAGACAGAGGUGAGCGGAACUUAGGGUGGAGCGGUGAAAUGCGUUGAUAUCCUAAGGAACACCGGUGGCGAAAGCGGCUCACUGGGUCUUUUCUGACGCUGAGGCACGAAAGCCAGGGGAGCGAACGGG